rnacentral:lncRNA from 1 species
CUUUUUCUUUUCCUUCCUUCUUUCUUUUUCUUUCAAACAGUGUCUCACUAUUAGCCCAGGAUGGCCUCAAACUUUCAAUUCUGUCUUCACCUCCCCAGUGCUGGUAUUACAGGCACGAACCACUACACCCAACCAUUUUUCUUCCUUCCUUUUUUUUGUCUUUUUUUCUUUAAGACAAGGCCUUACUAUGUUGCCCACGGUCCUGCCUCUGCCUCCCAGGUGGCUGGGACUACACGUGUGCACCACUGCACCUGACCUGGCAUCUACAUUUCUUAUCAUCUUUGAGCCUUGGCUGACCUGUGAUGUGAGAGCAACCCUUAACACCCACAGAGGCCAGUUGGCAGCCAGAACAAAGAACGAUGGUGCUGCUUGAUCCCAGCAUGUGGAAGGCUGAGGCGGGAGAAUCACCAGUUCAAGGCCAGCCUGGGUUGCAUACUCUUAUCUUUAAAAAAAUCAAAGAGAAAAAGGACCAGGCACCAGUGGCUCACGCCUAUAAUCCCAGCUACUCAGGAGGCAGAGAUCAGGAGGAUCACAGUUCAAAGCCAGCCUGGGCAAAUAGUUCCUGAGACCCUAUCUCAAAAAAAACCAUCACAAAAAAGGGCUGGUGGAGUGGCUCAAGGUGUAGGCCCUGAGUUCAAGCCCCAGCACCACAAAAAAAAAAAGAACCAACCACCCUCUCACCCUCCUAAAAGAAGGCCUGACAGAGGCUCAGUCUCUCGGCUGAUUCAGAGUGUCAGUCAUUCCACACAGUCACAGUGGAGCAGGCGCCUGCCCAUGGGCCACCCAACAGGUGAGCCAGGCCCACUUGGCCCAGGUGGGGCCAGUCACCAAGCCACCCGUCUCCAGCCCUGCCCUGUGCACUCCUCCCCGUGCAGGCGCCCAAGGGCUCAGACAUCUGUGGGGCAGGGCUGCCUCUGGGACGCCCCGUCUUGCUCCCCCAGGACCUUCCAGGAGGCACCUACAACCAGGCCAGGGGACAGGGGCAGCCGACCCUGAAAUA